rnacentral:lncRNA from 1 species
UUUUCUUCAUCUGCCUUACAAAAACCCCCACCCAAAAGCCUCACAAAUUCUGGGUUUUGGAGCCCCCAUGUUGUCUCUUCUUUCCCACUUGUGGCUUCUGCACAGGACCAGCUUUUCACUGCUCGUGUGGCUCUGGGGAGCAUCAGCUGUGGGAAUCACUGCCGGUAUUGGGAUGAAAACCUGCCUCGGAUCUCUCACUGAUAUCCUCUUCAGCCAUCCCUGCUCAUCGCGGAGGGGCCAGAGCAGCCGGGCUGUGGGAAACGGCUGGAAACUGGGAAACCAUGUACAAUGGUUUGGGAAAAGGCAGUGGUUGGGUAAGACCAUGGUCACAGGUACUCCACAGCAUGACGGGGACGCGUGACCCAGCGAGCGUUGGUGCACGAGAGUCACGGGGAGCUGAGAUCAAAGCCCCAGCCGCGCCGAGCUUUCCCGGCCAGAUGCGGUUUUGGAUAAGGGAAACGGGCAAUUAUUGCUCCACAGCUCCACGGGGUGUAUGCCAGU